AGUCAAUUGCCAUCCAUUCUUCCAAUUUGGUAAGUUGUCCUAUAACUUUUUUCAUUGCUUGCACCUAGGUUUGAGCCAGUAAACACUUAUACAUGCCAAUACACACUAAUAUGUUUUGUGCAUCAAAUUAAGUAUCUUGGUAUUGCUAAAUCCUAUUUUAGUACAUGUUUAGCCUAUUCUGGUUCCUUCACCUGUAUUACGCACAAGAUUUAAGUUGCCACACUUCCUGAAUGAUUUUAGUUAUUGUC
rnacentral:lncRNA from 1 species